UUGACUUUGACACAGUACAGAAAGCGAUUUGCUGGUCUUAUAAUCUUAUAAGCCAUUAUAACUUAUAAUGAAAAUCAUUUGACCAUUCUCCAAAUUGCCAUACCUGUGACUGUUACAGUCUAAGAAAUCAAUUAUGAUUAUGAAUAAGUUGAAAAAGGAGCUCAGAACUGAAUGUUCUGAAUUAUCAGUUGAGAGCACCACUUGUGCAGACUGGCUGGUAGAGAAAUUACUUUGGUGUUAUAUUCCAGGUUGGACUUACAAGAUUAAUGACCAAAUUCAACUGCAUGCUUCUGCAAGACAUAACAGUUGACAUUCAACUAUGAUAAAAGAAAAGUGUCGAUUUUUACUAAGGAAUGUAAGAAAUAUAAAUAGACCUGGAUGGGAAUCCAAUAGAACAACUCAAUAAUUUUGAAUACCUGGGAGUUGCUUUUCAUUUUCUGCCCUGGCCACUUCAGGUCCAAAAUCAGGCUCACUGACUAUUCUACCUGUACUAUUGAGAUUCUACAGUACAAAAGGAGGACAGCAUAUAUCUUCAGGUUUGAAGUUUUGGUGUACAAAACCAAACUAGCUACCAAAAUUAGUUGUGGAGUUCAUCUCUGGAUAUUGGGGAUUAAUUAAUCCUUUGAGAAAGCUCUUUUGUGUACUAAUUAAUUAAUUACUUAAUUAAUCCUUUCAGAACGCUCUUUUGUAUACUAAGAUGUAGUCUUGCAACCUGAAGCAGGCAUUUGCUCUUUGGAAACAGUGUGGUCCCUGGUAAUCAGCUACUGGCUUUACUUAUAUUUAUUCUCCACAGAUCUGAGCUGUCUAUCCCUGUUUUUGCCUGAUAAUUAUGCUUCUCUUGACUAAAAUAUGUCAAUAACAAAGUUAGCAUCAUUGGCUGUCCACUACCUCAUGUUCUGCCACGCGGGUUACAAAACAACAACUGGCUGCAUUAAACUGAGAGCUCUAAAUCUCAUUUUACAAAAUUCAUUACCUCUGGCAAAAAAGCUUUGCUCACCCCCGUAUCUUUGUCUAUAGCUUGGUAGUGCUUAUCAGUUCACUAGCUAAUUUAGACCAUUAAAUAUUCCUAAAUACUAGAUAGCAUUUUCAAUGGCCACAUUCAAUGCUUUGCCAUGCACAGUUAUGGAAGGUCAAUUCAGCAGGCUGCCUUAGCAUUUCAGAGUUUGUCCUUACAAAAGUGGCUGAGUUGAAAUGUUAGGUCAUGCUCUCCUAUAUUGACUUUUUUAGGAAUAAAAGAUCCCAGUUUGUUUCCCACUUUCUUUGCACUUGGGAAACUCAGAUGAAAUAUAUGUUUCAAUUUAAUGGCACACUCUAAUCUAAAGAUACUGAAAAUAUAGCCAAGAUCCUCACCUUAGCCCUCAAAACUAGGCAAGAACUGUUAAAGGGAAGUCAUAGCCCACCAUUAUUAAGUGGGGGCCCUUUUUAUGUGCUGUUGCAAGGCAGUGCUGGAUCUCCACCCUUGACGCUUCCCUCACACUCCAGCAUCCAGCAUUGGUGUACUCCACCUCAGACUUCCCCUGCCCAGAAUGCACAUUGGUCACAAUAUGACCCUGAGUCAACACUGUCUCUAUUUUUUUCUUAUUUUUAACUUCUUUUGAUUCAUAGAUUUUGUUAUACUCUCAUUUUAAAAGGCACAAUUGUGAGCCUGCAUGUUGUGUGUUUUUCUCCCUCUCCUGUGGCUGUCAUGAUAAACCUAUACUGUAUCUGAUGUUUAUGGUCUGUAGAACAAAUGAAUGAAACUGAACUGAAAUGUUCUGAUCUGCACAUUACUUCAGGAAAGAUCUGUCAGGUCACUUUGUACCAAAAGUCACAAACACUGAAUUCCUU